rnacentral:tRNA from 1 species
UGGUUAGCUCUGUUGGUAGAGCGCUCCACCUGUAAUGGAGAGGUCCCGGACUCUAUUCCCGGACCAAGCA